GACGUAGGGCGCGAGCGUUGUCCGGAUUUAUUGGGCGUAAAGAGCUCGUAGGCGGCUUGUCGCGUCGGCUGUGAAAACCCGCGGCUCAACUGUGGGCGGGCAGCUGAUACGGGCAGGCUGGAGUUCGGUAGGGGAGACUGGAAUUCCUGGUGUAGCGGUGAAAUGCGCAGAUAUCAGGAGGAACACCGGUGGCGAAGGCGGGUCUCUGGGCAACAACUGACGCUGGAGGAGCGAAAGCGUGGGGAGCGAACAGG
rnacentral:rRNA from 1 species